rnacentral:rRNA from 1 species
AAAUUGAAGAGUUUGAUCAUGGCUCAGAUUGAACGCUGGCGGCAGGCCUAACACAUGCAAGUCGAACGGUAACAGGAAUCAGCUUGCUGAUUCGCUGACGAGUGGCGGACGGGUGAGUAAUGUCUGGGAAACUGCCUGAUGGAGGGGGAUAACUACUGGAAACGGUAGCUAAUACCGCAUAACGUCGCAAGACCA